GGGGGGGGGGGGGGGGGUGGGGGGUGGGGGGGGGUGGGGGGGGGGGAGGGGGAGGUUGCUUCUCUGAUGUUAGCGGCGGACGGGUGAGUAACACGUGGAUAACAUAGGUAUAAGACUGGGAUAACUUCGGGAAACCGGCGCUAGUACCGGGUAAUAUUUUGAACCGCAUGGUUCAAAAUUGAAAGACGGGCUUGCUAUCACUUAUAGAUUGAUCCGCGCUGCAUUAGCUAGUUGGUACGGUAACGGCUUACCAAGGCAACGAUGCAUAGCCGACCUGAGAGGGUGAUCGGCCCCACUGGAACUGAGACACGGUCCAGACUCCGACGGGAGGCAGCAGUAGGGAAUCUUCCGCAAGGGGAGAAAGCCUGACGGAGCAACGCCGCGUGAGUGAUGAAGGUCUUCGGAUCGUAAAACUCUGUUAUUAGGGAAGAACAUAUGUGUAAGUAACUGUGCACAUCUUGACGGUACCUAAUCAGAAAGCCACGGCUAACUACGUG
rnacentral:rRNA from 1 species